rnacentral:rRNA from 1 species
AUUGAACGCUGGCGGCAGGCCUAACACAUGCAAGUCGAACGAGUGGCGGACGGGUGAGUAAUGUAUGGGAAACUGCCUGAUGGAGGGGGAUAACUACUGGAAACGGUAGCUAAUACCGCAUACCAUCGGAUGUGCCCAGAUGGGAUUAGCUAGUGGGGGGGGUAAAGGCUCACCUAGGCGACGAUCCCUAGCUGGUUUGAGAGGAUGAACAGCCACACUGGACCUGAGACCCGGUCAAGACUCCUACGGGAGGCAGCAGUGGGGAAUAGUGCACAAUGGGCGCAAGCCUGAUGCAGCCAUGCCGCGUGUAUGAUGAAGGCCUUCGGGUUGUAAAGUACUUUCAGUCGGGAGGCGUUACCGACAGAAGAAGCACCGGCUAACUCCGUGCCAGCAGCCGCGGUAAUAC